AUUGAACGCUGGCGGCAUGCCUUACACAUGCAAGUCGAACGGUAACGGGCCUUCGGGUGCCGACGAGUGGCGAACGGGUGAGUAAUGUAUCGGAACGUACCUUUCAGUGGGGGAUAACGUAGCGAAAGUUACGCUAAUACCGCAUAUUCUGUGAGCAGGAAAGCAGGGGAUCGCAAGACCUUGCGCUGAUUGAGCGGCCGAUAUCAGAUUAGCUAGUUGGUGAGGUAAAGGCUCACCAAGGCGACGAUCUGUAGCGGGUCUGAGAGGAUGAUCCGCCACACUGGAACUGAGACACGGUCCAGACUCCUACGGGAGGCAGCAGUGGGGAAUUUGGACAAUGGGGGCAACCCUGAUCCAGCCAUGCCGCGUGAGUGAAGAAGGCCUUCGGGUUGUAAGCUCUUUCGGCCGGGAAGAAUCGUAUGGGCUAAUACCCUGUGCGGAUGGACGGUACCGGCAUAAGUAGCACCGCUAACUACGUGCCAGCAGCCGAC
rnacentral:rRNA from 1 species